CAAUCUAGCCAUGAUCACUUCAUAAAUUUUAUGACACUUCAUCAGUUGCGUACCUGUGAGAAGUUCAGCUGAUAUUUCAAUACAAUGGCAGCAACGAAAACACUGUACAUUACUGCGUUUGUCUUCGCAGUUACAAUUGGACUAACUACAGGAGACUGCGAAUCUGGAUUAACACAAUGCUACAGCACAUUCCUGCAAAAUGUUGCAAGCCACGUCACUAAUGUAAACGCCAUUUGCAAUGACAUGCAAACUUUUGUCGCUUGUGUAUUUCAACAAAACUGCGGCUUAACAGCAGAAAUCGAGACACAAUUAAUCGAGCAGAUGAAUUCACAGCUGCGUCAGUUAGGACUUAAGUGCUCAUUUAGUGCAGCCGACCUCAUCAACAAGUACAAAAAUGGCGCCACAAGCAUCAGUACACUGCCAUCAGCUUUGAUGCUGCUCGCCUUGGUCACGGUGUCGAUCUUGGUCAAGAUUUUUUGAAUGCCACACAUUUCUCUUUAUUAAUGUGUUAUUUCACAAAAUCCUUUUUAUGUUGGUAACUACUUUGAUUGUUAAUGUCUUGUAUACUGAAACAUUUUUCUUUUGUCAAAUUAAUACUUAGAACUGUGACACGUCUUAUAAUUUGAAGGUCCAUUAAAAAAUACAUUUAUAUUUCCAAAGA